rnacentral:lncRNA from 1 species
ACAAUUCGAUGUCACCCCCUCCCUGACUAGCAUGUGGGCUCCCCAGGUUGGAGCCCCUUUCCCUCUCCCCUGCAUGUCCAUCGCAGGCUUCAAUGUGUCUGGCAGGCAGUAGAUGAGAAAGCUGAAAUACUGCAAGUUGAAAUGACUCGUCCUAGAUCCCAGGUCUAGUGAAGAGUGAGCACCAGAAAUCACAUGUACUAGACUACCAGCAGUCAGAUAUAAUCAGCCCCCAAAUCUCCUGUGGUUCACUAUAUAUAAAAGAAAAAAAAAAAACAAGGAAUAUCCAACCAAAACAAGGUAAAUACACAGGAGGGUUCACUGGGCAAGAACAGAUGCAAACCAGAGAGAUUUUGAAGAGCCUGGGGUCUCUAGACAAUUCGGCACUGCUGUGGAUUUCAUGUUUGUAUCCCCUCUAAAUACAUAUGUUGAAGCCCGAGCCCCCAGUGUGAUGGUAUUUGGAGAUGGGGCCUUCGGGAGGUGAUAAGGUCAUUAAAGUGGAGCCCUCAUGAAUGACAUUAGUGCCUUACAAGAAGAAGCAGGAGACAGCUUGCUUCCUCUGAAACUUGGAAAAUCAGAACAGUAAGAACAAUUUUUCAACCACCAUGAUUCCAGCAAAAAGGAUUUUCUAAUCACAAGAAAUCCUCCAAAUGGAGACACAAAAUUCUUCACUUAAACAAGAUUGUGCUUUAUAGAGUGGAGGAGAUAAAUGU